CUUUACUAUUAACUAGACAUCUGAUAAAAUUGGAACGAUACAGUGAAGAUUAGCAUGGCCCCUGUGCAAGGAUGACACACAUAAAUCGAGAAAUGGUCCAAAUUUUU